UCAGCAUUCGGGAACCCCCAGCUCACUAACCCCAUGGAAAUCUUGCUGAGCAGGCCCGCCUUAGGCUGAGAGGCAAAGCAGGUCAUUUGGUCACCUGAUCAGCCCUCUCCCUCCAAAGUGCCACUUCUCGACAGGCUUUACAGAAGGACACACAUGGUCGGCUGUCAACAGAGUAUCUCUUAACCCACAGAUGAAAAAGAACUUAGCUCUCAAAUCAAGAGUUAGAUCACCCUCAGGAAUGCUGUCUCAGCUGCCUUGCUUGGGAAGGUACCCCUGGGGCUCCCAGUAUUUCUCUGGUCAAAGGGAUUUGGCCUAAGCUCUGGGCUGCAGUCGCUGGUACAGACCCAGGCUCUCCAAGCCAAGGAGCAGCUUCAGUGAGGGGACAAAAGAUUCUGGUGGAACACUGAGGCACUUCAAGAGAGGAAAGUCUACUCUAAUGGUCUUGAACACUUACGAUUCUGGGUCUGAAAGGUGGUUCUACUUGGCGAUGGUUCAGCUGGGCCCAGUCGAUUUCCUUAAAGAAAGGAUGUCUCAAGAUGGCAUGCUCACCACCCUGAGUCAGGCUGCCCAGGCGCAUGGUGGGGUUCUUGGUCAUGAACUGAGAGGGGAACAAAGGGAGUCAAUCAUUCAAUAAUAUACAACAAGAAUGUCACAAGAUGGUAGGCAUCAGCCCUGGCAGAGGAGGCUGUGCGCGGCUUUCUGGCUGAUCUUAACUAGCUGAAUUUUCCAUUAGGGGCAGCACAGCCAACAUGAAUCAUCCCUUAAAGGCGCAAAUGCUUGUGUGUAUUUAUGGCCCUCGCCACUUCAUUUCAGACGUGGCCACUAAAAUAAAGUGAAGGGUCCAGUUUUCUUCACUGUAAAUACCAUGUAUUUUUCUUUCCCUUUUAAAGAAAAACUCUUUAUAAAAUAGUGUGCCUUUCUCAACACUGCAGUUGUCAACAGUCCACAGCUUAUGAAUAGGGCUACUUUUAAGAACAGCUGUGCCAUUUUCUGAGGACCUGACCAGCCGGCCAGGAUUCCCGCUCUCUGACAAGACCACAGAGAAGAGGGAGAGUCAUUAUUUUGAAGAUCUGUGGGAAGAAGCUGCAAGAGUAAAAACCCUAAAGUUGGCCAUUUUUCUUUAUGUAGCAAAGAUGCGCCUUUUCUCCUACCCUUUCAUUUUGAAAUGUUUAACGAUUGAGAAUCUUGCUACACAUAGAUCAU